rnacentral:rRNA from 1 species
UGCGCAGGCGGUUUAUUAAGACAGAUGUGAAAUCCCCGGGCUCAACCCGGGAACUGCAUUUGUGACUGAUAGGCUAGAGUGUAGCAGAGGGGGGUAGGAAUUCCACGUGUAGCAGUGAAAUGCGUAGAGAUGUGGAGGAAUACCGAUGGCGAAGGCAGCCCCCUGGGUUAACACUGACGCUCAUGCACGAAAGCGUGGGGAGCAAACAGGAUUAGAUACCCUGGUAGUCCACGCCCUAAACGAUGUCAACUAGGUGUUGGGGGAGGAGACUUCCUUAGUACCGCAGCUAACGCGUGAAGUUGACCGCCUGGGGAGUACGGCCGCAAGGUUGA